rnacentral:rRNA from 1 species
GAUGAACGCUGGCGGCGUGCCUAAUACAUGCAAGUCGAGCGAACAGAUGAGGAGCUUGCUCCUCUGACGUUAGCGGCGGACGGGUGAGUAACACGUGGAUAACCUACCUAUAAGACUGGGAUAACUUCGGGAAACCGGAGCUAAUACCGGAUAAUAUAUUGAACCGCAAGGUUCAAUAGUGAAAGACGGUUUUGCUGUCACUUAUAGAUGGAUCCGCGCCGCAUUAGCUAGUUGGUAAGGUAACGGCUUACCAAGGCAACGAUGCGUAGCCGACCUGAGAGGGUGAUCGGCCACACUGGAACUGAGACACGGUCCAGACUCCUACGGGAGGCAGCAGUAGGGAAUCUUCCGCAAUGGGCGAAAGCCUGACGGAGCAACGCCGCGUGAGUGAUGAAGGUCUUCGGAUCGUAAAACCCUGUUAUUAGGGAAGAACAAAUGUGUAAGUAACUAUGCACGUCUUGACGGUACCUAAUCAGAAAGCCACGGCUAACUACGUG